CUUCCAUAACGUCACAUAGCUUCCAUUACGGUUCCACCAUUCCAAACGAAAUCAAUGCAUCAAUGAACACACUGUAUCUAGCUCAUAUGGUAUAAACAUGUCAAUUUACCAAGUCCCAUGUGGGAAGAAGAAUGAGGUUUGAGGUGCAGAUUAUGUUUUCUGGGCACUUUGGAUCAUCAUGUGUGAAUUAAUUUCCAAGAGAUAAGUGUAUGGCUAGUGUGUGGGAUUCCAC